rnacentral:sRNA from 1 species
CAGCCCAGUGCUGUUAGGAAAAUAAAAAUUGUCAAAGAACUACAUCAGCAUCGCGUUUGAAAGCAGUUUUCUUUUCUUAAAGAAACAGCAUACCAAUUGUGACAGAGCAGCCCCUCAUCUCUGCUGGGGAAAACAGAGUGCAAGUGCUGAAAAAUGUGCCGUUUAACAUUGUGCUUCCCCAUGGCAACCAGCUGGGCAUUGAUAAGAGAGGCCAUCUGACAGCUCCAGAUACUACAGUCACUGUCUCCAUAGCAACGAUGCCUACCCACUCCAUCAAGACAGAAACCCAGCCGCAUGGCUUCACUGUGGGAAUCCCCCCAGCAGUGUAUCAUCCUGAGCCCACUGAGCGGGUGGUGGUUUUCGAUCGGAAUCUCAGUACUGACCAGUUCAGCUCUGGUGCUCAAGCCCCAAAUGCUCAAAGGCGAACUCCAGACUCGACCUUCUCAGAGACCUUCAAGGAAGGGGUUCAGGAGGUUUUCUUCCCCUCGGAUCUCAGUCUGCGGAUGCCUGGCAUGAAUUCAGAGGACUAUGUUUUUGACAGUGUUUCUGGGAACAACUUUGAGUAUACCCUAGAAGCUUCAAAAUCACUUCGACAGAAGCCGGGAGACAGUACCAUGACAUACCUGAACAAAGGCCAGUUCUAUCCCAUCACCUUGAAGGAGGUGAGCAGCAAUGAAGGAAUCCAUCAUCCCAUCAGCAAAGUUCGAAGUGUGAUCAUGGUGGUUUUUGCUGAAGACAAAAGCAGAGAAGAUCAGUUAAGGCAUUGGAAGUACUGGCACU